rnacentral:tRNA from 1 species
GCCUUCGUAGUGUAAUAGUCAGCACACUCGGCUCAUAGAGAGGUCCGAGGUUCGAGUCCCGGCGAAGGCA